rnacentral:rRNA from 1 species
UCCCGGGGGAGGGGAAACCCCCCCCCGGGGGGGGGGAAAAAGGGGGGGUUUUUUUUUUUGGGGCCUUUUUUCCCCGGGCCCGGUGGGAAAAAAGGGAAAAAGCCGGGGGGGGGAGCAAAAACCACGGCUUUUAGGAUUCCCCCUGGGAUAGUUCCCCCCCCCGUUAAACCCGGUGGGGCCACUUAGGGUGUGGGGGAACCAUUCCCCACGUUUUUCCCGUGCCGGAAAGCUAAACGCCCUUAAAGUGCCCCCGCCCUGGGGGAGUUACGGCCCGCCAAGGGCUAAAAACUCAAAAGGAAAUUGGACGGGGGGCCCCCCCCCAAAGCGGGCGGGACCAUUGCGGGAUUUAAUUUGUAUUCAAACCGGGAAAGAACCCUUACCCUGGGUUUUGACCAUACCCCGGAAAAGUCGCCAGAAAUUUACCCCCCCCCAAAGGUUCGGCCACACAGGGUGGCGCCAGGCCUUUUCUCCAAUCUCGUUUCGGGAAAAUGUUGGGGUUAAAUUCCCCGCCAAGGAGCCGCAACCCUUCUUCCUUAUUUNCCCAAGGGGAUAAUCCCCGGGGACUCAUAGGAGACGGCCCGGGGUCGGGUCGAAUUGGAAGAAAGGGGGGAAGAAGUCCAGUCAUCAUGCCCCUUAAGGUUCAGGGCUUCACGCAUGCUUCCAAUGGUGGGUCCAAAAGGGGCGCCAAUACCGCAAGGUUAAGCGAAUUCCCAAAAAAGCCAGUCUCAGUUUCGGAUUGGGGUUCUGCAACUCGACCCCCAUGAAGUCGGAGUCGCUAGUAAUCGCAGAUCAGCAACGCUGCGGUGAAUACGUUCCCGGGCGUCGUACACACCCCGCGUCACAUCUCAAGAAUCUCGAACACCCGAGAACCCGGUGCCCCAACCCUUGGGAGGGAGCCGUCGAAGGUGGGACUGGCGAUUAGGACUAAGUCGUAACAAGGUAGCCGUACCGGAAGGUGCGGCUGGAUCACCUCCUUAAGGGGGAUCCCGGG